GACGAACGCUGGCGGCGUGCCUAAUACAUGCAAGUCGAGCGGAUGGAAGGAAGCUUGCUUCCUAAAGUCAGCGGCGGACGGGUGAGUAACACGUGGGCAACCUGCCCCUAAGAUCGGGAUAACUUCGGGAAACCGGAGCUAAUACCGGAUAUGAUUAUGUCUCACAUGAGACAUAAUGGAAAGACGGUUUCGGCUGUCACUUAGGGAUGGGCCCGCGGCGCAUUAGCUAGUUGGUGAGGUAACGGCUCACCAAGGCGACGAUGCGUAGCCGACCUGGGAGGGGGAUCGGCCACACGGGGACUGAGACACGGCCCAGACUCCUAAGGGAGGCAGCAGUAGGGAAUCUUCCGCAAUGGGCGAAAGUCUGACGGAGCAACGCCGCGUGAGUGAAGAAGGUUUUCGGAUCGUAAAACUCUGUUGUUAGGGAAGAACAAGUACCAUAGUAACUGAUGGUACCUUGACGGUACCUAACCAGAAAGCCACGGCUAACUACGUGCCAGCCGCCGCCGUAAGAC
rnacentral:rRNA from 1 species